rnacentral:rRNA from 1 species
GCAGCCUUGACGGCAGCUACACAUGCAGUCGAGCGGCAGCAUCGGGGAGCUUGGUCCCUGGUGACGAGCGGCGGACGGGUGAUGAUGCUGCCGAAUCUGCCCGGUAUUGGGGGAUAACCUGGGGAAACCCAGGCUAAUACCUAAUACGCCCUACGGGGGAAAGCGGGGGACCUUCGGGCCUCGCGCUAUCUGAUGAACCUAUGUCGGAUUAACUGGUUGGUGAGGUAACGGCUCACCCAGGCGACGAUCCAUCCCUGGUCUGAGAGGAUGAUCAACCACACUGGGACUGAGACACAGCCCAGACUCCUACGGGAGGCAGCAGUGGGGAAUAUUGGACAAUGGGGGCAACCCUGAUCCAUCCAUGCCGCGUGUGUGAAGAAGGCCUUCGGGUUGUAAAGCACUUUCUUUGAGGAAGAAGGCCUGCGGGUUAAUAGCCGGCAGGAAGGACAUCACUCACAGAAGAAGCACCGGCUAACUCCGUGCCAGCAGCCAGCGGUAAUUAAUAUA